UGCAAUACCAGGCUUGGCCGCUGAGCACUGGUGGAUUGCGGAAGUAUGCGCUGUUCCCGGGGGCUUGGCUCAGACCCCGGGAAUUCAAGGGACCCAGAAGUACAUAUCUCCGUUAGUUAGAUAAGCUAAGUAUAGAUCACAACCUUGGCGUGGAAAGUCACGUACGCCACUUUCAGCCCCGUUUUGUGCGUACGCAACGGUUAUAAAUGAGACCCCUGGGGCCUCAUGUACUAAGACUUGCGUGGAUUUCAUACUGAAACUUGGCGUACGCCAAAACCCAGAAACUCUCUUACGCACAAAUAAAUUCAGAUGUAUCAAAGUGUGCGAACGCAUGGAUCCAAGCACGUUUCUUUUGUACAUCUCGAUCAACGUGGAAUUGAGCGCAUAUGCCGAGGUGCCAAACUCCUCCCUGUCCACGCCCUCAUUUAAAUAUGCAAUUUCAUUUAAAUAGGCCUCUGGACCUGAGAUUCACCUCUUAAUCCGAUCACCUGGCACCAUGAACAGAGGCAAAAAACGAAACUUCACGGAGUCCGAGCUCGAGAUUUUGCUCCACGAGGUAGAAAUGCGCAAGCAUAUGCUAUUUGGAACCCUGUCAACAGGGAUAAAUGCAAAACAAAAGAGAAGUGAGUGGGAGCGUGUUUGCGAGGCCGUCAAUGCAGUGGGGUCUCAGCAGCGCACACACUCUGAAAUUAAAAAAAAGUGGUCAGACCUCAAGGUGGAGGUGAAGCGGAGGGUUUCUGCCCACCGCCGAAGCGUGACCGCAACAGGAGGGGGGACGGGAGUGGGGGAACUCUCCCCCUUCGAUUUGAGAGUGGCCGCUUUGAUCGGUGACACAGCUCUCACCGGAGUGGUGGGAUCCCAUGAAGGGGGACACCGAUCAUCCCCAAGACAAGCAAGGAGAGGGCACGGAUUGCUCCGUCGGCCCCGGCGUCUCCAGCGCCCUUCGGAUUUGACCAUUUGCGAUGUCCUCUAACAACGCUAACUUCAUCCAUUGCGCAUGCUUUUAUAGCCACCCAUAUAAUUGCAAG